rnacentral:rRNA from 1 species
CCUACGGGUGGCAGCAGUGGGGGAUAUUGCACAAUGGGGGGAACCCUGAUGCAGCGACGCCGCGUGGGUGAAGAAGCGCCUCGGCGCGUAAAGCCCUGUCAGCAGGGAAGAAAAUGACGGUACCUGAAGAAGAAGCCCCGGCUAACUACGUGCCAGCAGCCGCGGUAAUACGUAGGGGGCAAGCGUUAUCCGGAUUUAUUGGGUUUAAAGGGUGCGCAGGCGGAAGAUCAAGUCAGCGGUAAAAUUGAGAGGCUCAACCUCUUCGAGCCGUUGAAACUGGUUUUCUUGAGUGAGUGAGAAGUAUGCGGAAUGCGUGGUGUAGCGGUGAAAUGCAUAGAUAUCACGCAGAACUCCGAUUGCGAAGGCAGCAUACCGGCGCUCAACUGACGCUCAUGCACGAAAGUGUGGGUAUCGAACAGGAUUAGAUACCCGGGUAGUC